UAUAUUUUGUUCAGACAGAGUCUCACUUUUGCUAGUCUUGAACUCCUGGCCUCCAGCAGUCCUCCUUCCUGCCUCCGCCUUCCAGAGUGUCAGGCAUGACCCACACAACCCAGGCUUGAUCGUACUACUUUUGAUCAGUAAGAGAGACCUGGAUAGUGGAUAGAAACUGUUGCGCAGGGGUGGGGUUGGCUAGUGAAGAAACUCUAUUCUCCCCUAGGCCUCUUGGCCUCUCUCUGUGUUCCUUUCCACCUAGAUGGAACCCCAGACUUCGAUGGAAAGAAAGAAUCUCCAGGAUAAAAGGGUCUUUUUCAGUCCACCCUAAAAGGUGCCACUGAGAUUUAUCAUGGAUCUACGUGCUUAGUCCUGCUACUGAAAUUUUCGAACUUCCCACAAUUGUGGGUGCCUUUCUUCAGUCAUUAGGCACAAGUGACAGUUCACGGGGCCCAAGAGCACAGUCUGUGCCUCCGCUCUUCCCUUCCUCAAGCAAGCCCCCCGCGUUCUUUGCCUCUUCUCUGGAGGCUGUUGAUAAGAAAAGUAGACCCACAGGACAUGCAUGUUGAAUUCUUUAUCAGUACCUGCUACAGAUGCAGCGACAGUGCACCUACUUGAGACAAUACAAACGGGACCAACGACCCCAGGCUGAGGCUGCUGCGCUGUCCAGGAUGGGGAGUUCAGUUCCGUUCCAGGGCUCAUGUGUCCAAAAUUGGGACCUCUGCUGGAUUCCAAAUCAGCUCCGAGAAUACAAGAACCGCUGCCUUUGAGAAACAGUUCAAGUCUUCACAUUCUGGAGUUCCUCGUAGGACCAGAAGCUUAAAGGCCACCCUGGAAUUAUUGGUUCUCCUAAAAACCUGCGGUGGGAGGGCUCUAUUCAUGGAGCGUUUAUUGGACACCCACCAGGUGCGAGGCUGGCUCUGGGUGAAGGGCUGCACCAUAUGCAAACCCCAGGUUCCUGCGGGGUGGAGCCGACCUCCGAAAGCCAGAGGGUGGUGCGGUGCCCGCACCGCCAGUUCUGGUCCCUCCCACGCGCGUCCGCCUGCCCAGGCCUGAGGAGAAUACCUGUGAACACGAGCAGGGAAGCGGAGCUAAGGAGGGCAACGGGGGUGACUUCGGCAGGAGAAGCUGCAGUCGGUCGUCUCCUGUGGGGGCUGGGGGGUGUGGCGGGGAAGGCUGUGGAUCUGGCGUUUGGCUGUCUGAGUACCCCAGCUGACUCCGGCCCGAUAUAUUGUCCAAACGUGCCCAACGACACGACUCUUGGCCUCGGUGUCUUCCGCGUCCCUGGUCUCUCGAAGGCACGGAGUUGGACAGGCGACAAAGAUAUGAGGAUAUCUGCAGCCAGAGGCUAAAAAUAAAUUUCUGGGAUCAACAAUUGAGUAAAAUACGUUGGGUCUUGGCGUCUCUGUGGCGCAACCGGUUAGCGCGUUCGGCUGUUAACCGAAAGGUUGGUGGUUCGAGUCCACCCAGGGACGAGGCCUUUUACUUGCUCAAGGUCCUUUCCAGCUACUUAAAAGCAACUUCAGGCUUUCUGUUAAAGACUUUAAUCCUCAGGACAUCUGUCGGUUUUAAAUCAGAUGCCAAAAUAUGAUGCGCGAAGACUCAAGUUCCACAAAACUUCCUAAAAGGAGGAAUAUUUCAGCAGAAGUGAUUUUUCAAUAGAUCCCGUGUCUGGGGUUUCAGACCUUACCCCCAGAACCACUGCACAUGUUCCCCCACUUCCAGAAGCUGGUACAUCCCUGGAAACCUGAAAAUUCCAAGGAUAGAAAAUAAGAAAACCCCAGUCUUGUGGUGGAGUCUCAAGUUCUGGGUGGAAAUAUUCAUUCUGCCACGAUGUAACUUUGAACAAGUUACUAAACUUUCUAUACCUCCAUUUUCUUCGUCUGUAAAAAAGAGCAAAAGGUAUUUUAGGUAUUUUCCUAAUGGGUUACUCUAAUAUUUAAUGAGAAAUUCACAUAAAUCAUUUGGGCACUUAAUAAAUGUUCAUCAAACGUUAGCUACUAUAAUUAUUUUCAGUGGGAUCAUCAUCACCAUUUUCAUUAUUUAUCGCAGCCUUUUAAACAACUGCAUAUCUUUUCAUGGUAUGCAUGGACCAUCAUAUAUUUAAACAUUCCUCAAUUGGUGGACAAGAAAUUGUCUCUAAUGUUUGUUCUUAUAAUUAUUCAGAGAACAUCCUGACACCAAUAUCCUUUAUCACUUGGGCAAAGAUUUCCUAAAAUAGAUUCCUAGAAGUGGACUUGCUUGAUCAAAGUGUUUGUGCAUUUCUAAUUUUGCUAAAUCAUGCCUAAUUGACCUCCAAAGAAGUUGUACCUAGUCAUAUGUCCACAUUCUAAGAGAACACUCUUUUCUUGGCAACACCAUCUAACAUUUAAUAACAGUACAGACAUAUCCCUUUUGUUUGGGGAAUGUUAUUGUUUGUUUGCCUCACACAUUGCUCUCAAUCUUAUAGGUGAGGGGCUGGUGCUGUGAUGUUUUCCUUUGUUCUCUUGUGCCCUGAGAAUUCUGGGAAAGUGGUUCACAAAAGAGACUUGAGGUUUGAUUCACUUGAUUGUAAAGGUAGUGACAAUGGGUGUUCCCAUUGUUCCUGUGACAGACAGCCCAACUUUCAGCUGCUGAAGAAGAUCCAGAAGUAUCCCUCCAGAGUGGGACUUUUUAUUUGGCUCAGUGUUGGUCCUGAGCCAAAUAAAAAUUGGAAAGGGCAGACUUUAAAUUUUCAUUGGAUUGAGAUUUUAGAUAAUAGAUCUUUUUUCUUAUUUUCUUAUGGCAACAAAAGGACAGAUUGCAUUCUUGAACUUUAUUGGAGGAACUCAAUAAUAGUGGCUAUUCUACUGCUCUUAUGGGAUUAUUUGUCUAUGCUGGCCUGUGGUGCUUGCUAUGAAACAUCAUCUGUUGAGCUGAGGUGGGCAAGUGGCUAAAGAAAACCUGUCAGAAAAUAAAAUGGAGUUGAGUCCAAUAUCUGUCUCCCUCUACAAGACCCUGUUGCAGUGGUCCCUACACCUAUCACCAUGGCCCACCCCUCUUGAGUGAAAUCUGUUUUACCAUCUUUUUUUUUUUAAGUGAAGAAAACAGAAGAUUUACCUAGGGUUAAGUAAAGUCUUAUUUUGACCCUUUCAGAGGUUUGGAUCUCUUUGGAUGUCAGCUCAGGCUGCUGUAUACUAUAGACUGGGUGGCUUAAACAACAAACAGACUUGGGGUGAA